GGAUGAGCAGGAUAAAGAAGAGACAUAAUACAGAGGAGUCUCAGAUGAAUCAGUCCAGACCUCAUCAGGACAUAAGCAAUUAUUACUGUGAUAAUUCGACUGACUCUGAGUAUGCAAAUAUAAAUAUGGAGACUUUUAAACCUCAUCAUGACACAUGUAGAGACUCUGAUGUAGAUUUCACUGACCCUGUGUAUGGAAAUAUAAUGAUCUCUGAAUAUUCUCCUUAUUAGCACGAGUGUUGUUCACUGUUGAAUGAAGCAGCAGAUGUAAAACAGCAGAGAAUCAGGCUUUUCCUCCAGACAACAUGUGGUUUAACUAUUUAAUUCUGUCGUGUCUUUGUAAAUACAUUAACAUUAGUGUGUGAAAUGGCUAACCACAUGUGGUGUGUC